CGACCGGCGCACGGGUGCGCAACGCGUAUGGAACCUGCCCCUUACCGGGGAAUAGCCCAGAGAAAUUUGGAUUAAUGCCCCAUGGUAUAUGUUACCGGCAUCGGUAAUGUAUUAAAGGUUACGGUAAGGGAUGGCCAUGCGUACCAUUAGCUAGUUGGUAAGGUAACGGCUUACCAAGGCGACGAUGGUUAGGGGCCCUGAGAGGGGGAUCCCCCACACUGGUACUGAGACACGGACCAGACUCCUACGGGAGGCAGCAGUGAGGAAUAUUGGACAAUGGGCGGAAGCCUGAUCCAGCCAUGCCGCGUGCAGGAAGACUGCCCUAUGGGUUGUAAACUGCUUUUAUACGGGAAGAACAACCGCCACGUGUGGCGCUCUGACGGUACCGUAAGAAUAAGGACCGGCUAACUCCGUGCCAGCAGCCGCGGUAACACGGAGGGUCCGAGCGUUAUCCGGAAUUAUUGGGUUUAAAGGGUCCGUAGGCGGGUCGGUAAGUCAGGGGUGAAAUGGUGCGGCUCAACCGUAGCACUGCCUUUGAUACUGUCGAUCUUGAGUUAUGGUGAAGUUGCCGGAAUAUGUAGUGUAGCGGUGAAAUGCAUAGAUAUUACAUAGAACACCGAUUGCGAAGGCAGGUGACUAACCGUAUACUGACGCUGAUGGACGAAAGCGUGGGGAGCGAACAGGAUUAGAUACCCUGGUAAUCCACGCCGUAAACGAUGGAUACUAGCUGUCCGGUGCCUUGAGCACUGGGCGGCCAAGCGAAAGUGAUAAGUAUCCCACCUGGGGAGUACGUUCGCAAGAAUGAAACUCAAAGGAAUUGACGGGG
rnacentral:rRNA from 1 species